NNNNNNNNNNGGAUUCCCCUAGUAACUGCGAGUGAAGCGGGAAAAGCUCAAAUUUAAAAUCUGGCAGUCUUUGGCUGUCCGAGUUGUAGUCUGGAGAAGUGCUUUCCGCGCUGGACCGUGUACAAGUCUCUUGGAAUAGAGCGUCAUAGAGGGUGAGAAUCCCGUCUUUGACACGGACUACCAGUGCUUUGUGAUGCGCUCUCAAAGAGUCGAGUUGUUUGGGAAUGCAGCUCAAAAUGGGUGGUAAAUUCCAUCUAAAGCUAAAUAUUGGCGAGAGACCGAUAGCGAACAAGUACCGUGAGGGAAAGAUGAAAAGCACUUUGGAAAGAGAGUUAAACAGUACGUGAAAUUGCUGAAAGGGAAACGAUUGAAGUCAGUCGCGUUGGCCAGAACUCAGCCUUGCUUUUGCUUGGUGCAUUUUUUGGUUAACGGGCCAGCAUCAAUUUUGACCGCUGGAUAAAGGUGGAGGGAAUGUGGCACCUUCGGGUGUGUUAUAGCCCUCUGUCACAUACAGCGGUUGGGAUUGAGGAACUCAGCACACCUUUAUGGUCGGGGUUCGCCCACGCUUGUGCUUAGGAUGCUGGCGUAAUGGCUUUAAACGACCCGUCUUGAAACACGGACCAAGGAGUCUAACAUGCCUGCGAGUAUUUGGGUGGAAAACCCGAGUGCGCAAUGAAAGUAAAAGUUAGGAUCUCUGUCAUGGAGAGCACUGACGCCCGGACCAGACCUUUUGUGACGGCUCCGCGGUAGAGCAUGUAUGUUGGGACCCGAAAGAUGGUGAACUAUGCCUGAAUAGGGUGAAGCCAGAGGAAACUCUGGUGGAGGCUCGUAGCGAUUCUGACGUGCAAAUCGAUCGUCAAAUUUGGGUAUAGGGGCGAAAGACUAAUCGAACCAUCUAGNNNNNNNNNNNNNNN
rnacentral:rRNA from 1 species